AUGUAUAUUAUUUCCCCCCUUCAUCCUGAUGUCCUGACAUGCUUAAUCCCCCGGCAUACUUUGUGGAUUUGGAUUUGGUUGACCACGCCGCCUGCUUCCUCUUUCAGAUCCAGUCCACCUGCUUCACCACGCCGGAGUCUAUGGAAGUCCCUCGGCCUGGAGAGUGCAGGUGACGUGUUUUCCACUAAUUCUCCUCUACAGCCUGUUCUUAUUGUUUUGGUUUUCCUUUUCCUCGUCCGUAGGCUGCCAGUUCUGGACACUGGCCCUCUAGUCGUGAUGAGGCCGAUCGAGUCUCUUCGCAUCGCCAAUGGGGAAAUCUGA
rnacentral:rRNA from 1 species